AUACGGAGGAUCCGAGCGUUAUCCGGAUUUAUUGGGUUUAAAGGGAGCGUAGGCGGACUAUUAAGUCAGCUGUGAAAGUUUGCGGCUCAACCGUAAAAUUGCAGUUGAUACUGGUCGUCUUGAGUGCAGUAGAGGUAGGCGGAAUUCGUGGUGUAGCGGUGAAAUGCUUAGAUAUCACGAAGAACUCCGAUUGCGAAGGCAGCUACUGGACUGUAACUGACGCUGAUGCUCGAAAGUGUGGGUAUCAAACAGGAUUAGAUACCCUGGUAGUCCGCACAGUAAACGAUGAAUACUCGCUGUUUGCGAUACACUGUAAGCGGCCAAGCGAAAGCGUUAAGUAUUCCACCUGGGGAGUACGCCGGCAACGGUGAAACUCAAAGGAAUUGACGGGG
rnacentral:rRNA from 1 species